CGGCUUGACACAACUUUGGAUCCACCUAUAGCGUGAAUCUGCCUUCCCAUAGAGGUCUCCCACAACCUCCCGCUUUAGUUUCGCCAGAUUGCACCGGAACGCACCAACUGCUGUGCCAACACAACCCAAAGCCUCCUUAUCCCCUCCGCCUUCUGCGGGCCAAAACCUCUCCACCCAUUUUCAGUGACCAAUAGGCUGCGGAAUCCCGCGCGGGGAGGAGCCCGGUCACUCGGAGGAAGCUGUGCAGGGACACAGCGGCCAUGGCAGCUCCCGAGUCUCUGUCCCCCACGGCCACGGCCGAGGAGGCGCCGGAGGAGGAUGAGGACGAGGCGGAGACCGAGGACCCGGAGCGCGGGACGGGUAGCGGAGGGCGCAGCGGCAGCCUCGGUGGCAGCGGAGGCAGCACAGCAGGGCCUGGGUUGGCCCUAGGGGGCGCGCUCACGAGGCGCGCGGUCACGCUGCGGGUGCUGCUCAAAGACGAGCUGUUGGAGCCCGGUGAGGGGGUACUAUCCAUCUACUACCUGGGCAGGAAGUUUAUCGGGGACCUGAAACUAGAUGGCAGGAUCGUGUGGCAGGAAAAUGGACAAGUCUUCAACUCGCCCAGCGCCUGGGCCACACACUGCAAGAAGCUUGUCAACCCAGCCAAGAAGUCUGGCUGUGGCUGGGCCUCUGUCAAGUACAAGGGCCAGAAGCUGGACAAAUACAAGGCCGCCUGGCUCCGCCGUCACCAGCUACACAUGCCCGUAGCUGCUGCUGAUGAGAGUCCCACCAGUGAAGGGGAGGAGGAGGAACUGCUGCUGGAGGAGGAGGAGGAGGAUGUGCUGGCUGGGGUUUCAUCAGAAUACAAAGGCCACAGACCUCCUGGGAAGGGUUCCUUGGAGCCAGAAGCCACACCCUCAGGGAAGCGUGUGGACAAGGUCCGGGUGCCCGUCCGUUACUGCAUGCUGGGCAGCAGAGAUUCUGCCAGGAACCCCCACACUCUGGUAGAAGUAACAUCCUUUGCUGCCAUCAACAAGUUCCAGCCAUUCAACGUGGCCGUUUCCAGUAAUGUGCUGUUCCUCUUGGACUUCCACUGUCACCUGACUCGGAGUGAGGUCGUGGGCUACCUUGGUGGUCGCUGGGACAUCAAUAAUCAGAUGCUGACCGUGCUGAGAGCCUUCCCCUGCAGGAGUCGGCUAGGGGACCCUGAUACUGCAGCCACGGUUGAGGAGGAGAUCCACCAGGUCCUGUUCCUGCGAGGCCUGUCCCUGGUGGGCUGGUACCACAGUCACCCACACAGCCCUGCAGCACCCUCCUUGCAGGACAUCGAUGCACAGAUGGAGUACCAGUUGAGACUGCAAGGCUCCAACAAUGGCUUCCAGCCCUGCCUGGCCCUGCUGUGCUCCCCCUACUACUCCGGCAACCCAGGCCCUGAGUCCAAGAUCUGCCCUUUCUGGGUGAUGCCUCCCCCUGAGCAGCAAAGGCCCAGUGACUAUGGAAUCCCCAUGGAUGUAGAGAUGGCGUAUGUCCAAGAUAGCUUCCUGACAAGCGAUGUUCUUCAGGAGAUGGUGAGCUACCUGCGUGCGGCUGCAGCCCCAGGGUCUCCCUUUGUAGUCAAGCUUUUGAUUAUACUGCCUCAGCUGUCUCAGUGCAGAGGUGACAGGUCUGCCCCCACCACACCUGACUGGGUGACCAUUCUUCAUAGCUGUGUCUACUCAGAUGUUUGUCAUUCCUGAGGGAUCAUGGGUGUGACAUCUUGGGAUGAGGCUAGCCCACUGUCAGGGCAGGCCUGCAGUGUAGUCAAUAUCAAUCUAUCAUCUAUCUCUGGCAGUUCUGGGAACUACAGGGUCAAGAAAGCAUGAGCCAGGUGUGCUGUUCCCUGCCUUGCAGGUGAUGUUGGUGGAGUUCUACAAAGGUGCCCCUGACCUUGUGAAGUUCCAAGAGGCCUGGAGCCCAGAGCAUACCUACCUGGACAAGCUCAAGAUGUCCUUGGCCAGCAGGACCCCAAAGGACCAGGGCAUGUGCCAUGUGCUGGAGCAGGUCUGCAGCGUGCUCAAGCAGGGGAGCUGAGGCUGUAAGCUUUGCUGUCCUGGGACAAGCUGGGUAAUAAAGUCUCUGAGUGCCUACA